rnacentral:rRNA from 1 species
GCGUGGGUGAAGAAGGUCUUCGGAUUGUAAAGCCCUUUCGGCGGGGACGAUGGUGACGGUACCCGCAGAAGAAGCCCCGGCCAACUUCGUGCCAGCAGCCGCGGUAAUACGAAGGGGGCUAGCGUUGCUCGGAAUCACUGGGCGUAAAGGGCGCGUAGGCGGCGGCGCUAGUCGGGCGUGAAAUCCCCGGGCUCAACCCGGGGGCUGCGCCCGAUACGGCGCCGCUCGAGGCGGGGAGAGGGCCGCGGAAUUCCCAGUGUAGAGGUGAAAUUCGU